AGUCACCCUGCUGAUGAACAGGUCCCCGUAGUUAAACGGAUAUAACAAGCCCCUCCUAAGGGCUAGUUACUG
rnacentral:tRNA from 1 species